CAGCCGUAAACGAUACUCGCUAGGUGUCGGCCACGGUGCGACCGUUGUCGGUGCCGUAGGGAAGCCGUGAAGCGAGCCACCUGGGAAGUACGGCCGCAAGGCUGAAACUUAAAGGAAUUGGCGGGGGAGCACAACAACGGGUGGAGCUUGCGGUUUAAUUGGAUUCAACGCCGGAAAUCUUACCGGGACCGACAGCAACAUGAAGGCCAAGCUGAAGACUUUGCCGGAUUAGCUGAGAGGUGGUGCAUGGCGUAGUCGUGU
rnacentral:rRNA from 1 species